CCCUUAGAUGUCCGGGGCCGCACGCGCGCUACACUGAGGGAAUCAGCGUGGCUUUCUCCCUGACCCGAAAGGGUUGGGAAACCCGUUGAAUCUCCUUCGUGAUAGGGAUUGGGGCUUGAAAUUGUUCCCCAUGAACGAGGAAUUCCCAGUAAGCGCGAGUCAUAAGCUCGCGUUGAUUACGUCCCUACCCUUUGUACACACCGCCCGUCGCUACUACCGAUUGAACGGUUUAGUGAGGGCCUCGGAUUGGUCUCGGCCCGCUCUUUACCGGGCGGCGCCGUUGGUCGAGAAGACGCUCGAACUUGAUCGUUUAGAGGAAGUAAAAGUCGUAACA
rnacentral:rRNA from 1 species